CAGUCGCCACGGGAAUACGUAGGGUGCAAGCGUCAAUCGGAAUUACUGGGCGUAAAGCGUGCGCAGGCGGUUCGCUAAGACAGAUGUGAAAUCCCCGGGCUUAACCUGGGAACUGCAUUUGUGACUGGCGGGCUAGAGUAUGGCAGAGGGGGGUAGAAUUCCACGUGUAGCAGUGAAAUGCGUAGAGACGUGGAGGAAUACCGAUGGCGAAGGCAGCCCCCUGGGCCAAUACUGACGCUCAUGCACGAAAGCGUGGGGAGCAAACAGGAUUAGAUACCCGGUAGUCCCUGUCUCUUAUACA
rnacentral:rRNA from 1 species